rnacentral:rRNA from 1 species
UGGGGAAUAUUGGACAAUGGGCGAAAGCCUGAUCCAGCCAUGCCGCGUGUGUGAAGAAGGUCUUCGGAUUGUAAAGCACUUUAAGUUGGGAGGAAGGGCAGUAAGCGAAUACCUUGCUGUUUUGACGUUACCGACAGAAUAAGCACCGGCUAACUCUGUGCCAGCAGCCGCGGUAAUACAGAGGGUGCAAGCGUUAAUCGGAAUUACUGGGCGUAAAGCGCGCGUAGGUGGUUCGUUAAGUUGAAUGUGAAAGCCCCGGGCUCAACCUGGGAACUGCAUCCAAAACUGGCGAGCUAGAGUAGGGCAGAGGGUGGUGGAAUUUCCUGUGUAGCGGUGAAAUGCGUAGAUAUAGGAAGGAACACCAGUGGCGAAGGCGACCACCUGGGCUCAUACUGACACUGAGGUGCGAAAACGUGGGGAGCAAACAGG